GGGCACAUGGUGUAGUUGGUUAUCACAUCCGCUUAGCACAUCUGGGUGAAUGCGGGGGGUGCUGGGUUCAAUUCCCAGUGUGUCCA